CCCUUCUGCAGUUCAAGAACUGUGCUGUAGUUGUGUGGUCCAGUUGUUCUGUUCCAUGCAAUAAUGCUAGCAGAGUACAAUGCAGACGGAGAUUAAAACGCACUGAACCGAAAAUGAGAUGUGGUCGAACCUCUUUCUUAAUGUUCGCUGGCUGCAUUCUCGAGGUGACGUGCUACACCU
ensembl:snoRNA SNORA81 small nucleolar RNA, H/ACA box 81